UGAUGGAAAAUCUAAUCUGCCCAUUGUAAAUGGCCGCAGUAUAUUGACUGUGCUAAGGUAGCAUAAUAAUUAGCUCUUUAAUUGGGGGCUGGAAUGAAAGAUUGGACGAGGGGAGAGCUGUUUUUGUUAAUUGAAAUUAGCUUUAAAUGUGAGGAGACAUGAGGGACGAGAAGACCCUAUCAAGUUUUAUUAUUUUGCUGGGGCGGUAAUGAUGAUAAAAAGAGUAAAUUACUGUAGGGAUAACAGCGUGAAAUUUUUGGAGAGAUCAUAUUGAUAGAAAGUUUUGCGACCUCGAUGUUGAAUUAAAUCUGUUUGGAGAAGGACUUGUGAAGAUUUACA
rnacentral:rRNA from 1 species